AGGAAUCUGCACAUUUGUACUACACAGACUUUGCUGAUUUAAUGAGAGCCAUGCCAGUGGUACUAAAUCAAGCCUAUCAUUUCCGAAAGGCUUUGAUUUUCGGACAUUAAUACCAAUUACCAUGUUUUUGUUGACAAGACAAUGAAAUAUCCAGGAUAAUAUUGGUCAAAAUUAUAUUUACUGAAAGGAGAGGACUAAUGUGGACCCCGGUAUAGUAUUAGCUUUUUUUUUUUAAAGGAUAAGAUUUUUCUGGAGGGAAAAAGAAACAACUGAAGGAAAAAAACCUUUUCGCUUCCAAUGAAAAUGGAACAUAUCUGUACUUUGACUUUUCAUUUCAUUCAAACCAGACUUGGUAGAACUCAGCAGGGUGGUGCCAGGGACAUUCUCCAAUUUCCUGGUCUUGUUCUACAGCAGCAUAUUAAGCUUUUGGAAACAUCAAUCAGGAGACAGAAAAUUGAUCUUUCAGCUUUUGAGGGAAUGUAUCAUCUUGAGUUAGGGAGAAACUGCCCUGGAUGGCCCAAGCUUUGCUCCUGUCUCCUGUGGAAGUGGGAUAUCCAUCAAAGCUUUCCCCAGUGAGUCACAUUGCUCCUGAGUAGAACGCAAGGUGAGCUGGCCUAUGGGGUCCCUCAGCUGUGGUGUAACUGGAGCAAGUACAGCCAAGACUUCAUCUUCCCCAGACAGCUUCCUUGAGCCUUGGGGGCCUAGCUCACAAUGGAUCCUAGGCUUCUUUUGUCCCUGCUGACUAUCUGUAAAUAAUAAAUUCACUUCUGAUAACUUGUGUGUGAGUGUGUUCUGUCUCACAAAACUCAGAUAAGUUGGUAACCAGUAUGCAGUGAACCUGCUGCAAAACACCUACCUCGGAGUGGAGA
rnacentral:lncRNA from 10 species